rnacentral:rRNA from 1 species
UACGGAGGGACCGAGCGUUGUCCGGAAUCAUUGGGCGUAAAGAGCGUGUAGGCGGCCACUUAAGUCCUGCGUGAAAUCUUGCGGCUCAACCGCAAGCGGUCGUGGGAAACUGGGUGGCUAGAGUGCGGGAGAGGAGAGUGGAAUUCCUGGUGUAGCGGUGGAAUGCGCAGAUAUCAGGAAGAACACCCGUGGCGAAGGCGGUUCUCUGGGCAUGUCCUGACGCUGAGGAGCGAAAGUGUGGGGAGCGAACAGG